rnacentral:lncRNA from 1 species
UAUCAAACAAAAAGUAACGAUUGGGUAGUUAUUGACACAUGGUCUGAAAGUCAGAAGAGUGACUCAUUUGUUUUUACUGAAAAAUUAGUUUCUGGUAAGUAUACUGCUAUGGCAACAGGGAUCUAUUAUUUGUCUGCUAAUGUUAUUUUUAAAGACAGCAAAUGACCAAUUUAUAUUAUGAUAGCUGUCAAUAAUCAGUUAUCAAAACGAACUGCUUUUUAUGCAACAAAAGGAAAACCAUCAGUAGUUCAAGACAGUCUUAGUGUGUCUGGAGCCUUAUUUAUUAAAAAAGAUUCUUUUGUUAAUGUUUAUGUUAUGAUUGAAAAUGAUAAUAGCUGGUCCAUAGAUAUUGAUUCAACUUUUUCAAUGGUGUUUCUUGGGUAUCAGACAAAUAUUUUUGGUGUAACAACAGUUCUCACAAAUAGUUUAGCUUACACUACAUCUGGUUGGUUUAAAAUUGGAAAAUAGAAAUCUCAAACUGCAGCAGGUCCAUUUUUUGAUUUUGGGGGAGGAUUUAAUCCAGACUCUGGAGAUUUUGUUGCUCCUAAAGCAGGUUUUUACAUUGUGAGUGCUGGAAUAAAAAUGGUUCAGGCAAGUGCAGUUGGAUCUACCUUUUCUUUAAAUGCUAAUGGAAUUGUUAAUGGAAAUCCAUCUACUUUACAAUACCAAAAUGGAAUACAAGACUGUCUUCAAAAUGGUAAUGUUACACCUACUACAAAUGAUUUUUACUCAUUGGUUGUGUCUGGUUUGGUAUUAGUUAAUGCAGGUGACAGCAUUGCACUUUAUACUCAGUCUGUUGCUGAUCCAACUUAUACAAGACAGCUAUAUGUCAAUCGUUUUCAUUAGCUCUAACAAUGAUUUAUAUUUAUCUGAAAUGCAGUGAAUGCUAGAUCCAACCCUUGAUCAACAGCAGAGCGCUUCUGAUUAGACUUAAAUUAAAUAUUGGCAGAGCAACCGGGUAAGGACUGCAACUGGUGU